ACUGAGUUGGCUCAGUCGGUAGAGCAUGAAACUUUUAAUCUCAGGGCUGUGGGUUCAAGCCCCAUAUUGGGGA